rnacentral:rRNA from 1 species
GCGAGUAACAUUUAUGAAUCUGCCUACUAGUGGGGGAUAGCUCGGGGAAACUCGCAAUUAAUACCGCAUACAACCUACGGGUGAAAGGGGGCGCAAGCUCUUGCUAUUASAUGAGCCUAAAUCAGAUUAGCUAGUUGGUGGGGUAAAGGCCCACCAAGGCGACSAUCUGUAACUGGUCUGAGAGGAUGAUCARUCACACCGGAACUGAGACACRGUCCGGACUCCUACGGAAGGCAGCAGUGGGGAAUAUUGGACAAUGGGGGCAACCCUGAUCCAGCCAUGCCGCGUGUGUGAAGAAGGCCUUUUGGUUGUAAAGCACUUUAAGCAGGGAGGAGAGGCUAAUGGUUAAACCCAUUAGAUUAGACGUUACCUGCAGAAUAAGCACCGGCUAACUCUGUGCCAGCACCCGCGGUAAUAC